rnacentral:rRNA from 1 species
AAUACAUUUUUGAAGCAAUUAGCUUGCUAAGAGUGGAAAUGUUGUAUUCUUAGUGGCGGACGGGUGAGUAACGCGUGGAUAACCUGCCUCACACUGGGGGAUAACAGCCAGAAAUGGCUGCUAAUACCGCAUAAGCGCACAGCAUCGCAUGAUGUGGUGUGAAAAGCGUCAGUGGUGUGAGAUGGAUCCGCGUCUGAUUAGCUAGUUGGUAGGGUAAGAGCCUACCAAGGCGACGAUCAGUAGCCGGCCUGAGAGGGUGAACGGCCACAUUGGGACUGAGACACGGCCCAAACUCCUACGGGAGGCAGCAGUGGGGGAUAUUGCACAAUGGGGGAAACCCUGAUGCAGCGACGCCGCGCGAGUGAAGGAGUAUUUCGGUAUGUAAAGCUCUAUCAGCAGGGAAGAAAAUGACGGUACCUGACUAAGAAGCCCCGGCUAACUACGUGCCAGCAGCCGCGGUAAUACGUAGGGGGCAAGCGUUAUCCGGAUUUACUGGGUGUAAAGGGGGCGUAGACGGCAAGACAAGCCAGAUGUGAAAGGCAGGGGCUCAACCCCUGGACUGCAUUUGGAACUGCCUGGCUAGAGUGUCGGA